rnacentral:rRNA from 1 species
UACGAAGGGGGCUAGCGUUGCUCGGAAUCACUGGGCGUAAAGGGUGCGUAGGCGGGUCUUUUAAGUCAGGGGUGAAAUCCUGGAGCUCAACUCCAGAACUGCCUUUGAUACUGAAGAUCUUGAGUUCGGGAGAGGUGAGUGGAACUGCGAGUGUAGAGGUGAAAUUCGUAGAUAUUCGCAAGAACACCAGUGGCGAAGGCGGCUCACUGGCCCGAGUACUGACGCUGAGGCACGAAAGCGUGGGGAGCAAACAGGGA